rnacentral:tRNA from 1 species
GCUCGGUUAGCUCAGCGGUAGAGCACCUGCUUCACACGCAGGGGGUCACUGGUUCGAACCCAGUAUCGAGCACCA